AUUGAACGCUGGCGGCAUGCCUUACACAUGCAAGUCGAACGGCAGCACGGGAGCAAUCCUGGUGGCGAGUGGCGAACGGGUGAGUAAUAUAUCGGAACGUGCCCAGUCGUGGGGAUAACGUAGCGAAAGCUACGCUAAUACCGCAUACGAUCUAUGGAUGAAAGCGGGGGAUCGCAAGACCUCGCGCGAUUGGAGCGGCCGAUAUCAGAUUAGGUAGUUGGUGAGGUAAAGGCUCACCAAGCCGACGAUCUGUAGCUGGUCUGAGAGGACGACCAGCCACACUGGGACUGAGACACGGCCCAGACUCCUACGGGAGGCAGCAGUGGGGAAUUUUGGACAAUGGGCGAAAGCCUGAUCCAGCAAUGCCGCGUGCAGGAAGAAGG
rnacentral:rRNA from 1 species